CCAAUUAUAGUUUGAAAGACCAGGUUGCAGUGGUGAAGUUGAAAGCAAUACAGUACAAAACUCUAUAUUUGAAAGACCAGGUUGCAGUGGUGAAGUUGAAAGCAAUACAGUACAAAACUCUAUAUUUGAAAGACCAGGUUGCAGUGGUGAAGUUGAAAGCAAUACAGUACAAAACUUUACAGUUUCUUGUGAA
rnacentral:lncRNA from 1 species